rnacentral:rRNA from 1 species
ACUGCUAUCCGGGUGGGACUAAGCUAUGCAGUCGAAUGGGAUACCUAAAUUUCCCAUGGCGAACUGCUCAGUAACACGUGAUCAACUUACCCUGUGGAGAGAAAUAACUUCGGGAAACUGAAGAUAAUUCCUCAUAAUUGAGAAUGCUUGGAAAGGUUUCUCAAUAAAAGAACAUUUCAAAUGGGAAAUGUAUCGCCGCAGGAUAGGAUCGCGUCCGAUUAUGGCAGUUGGUGAGGUAAUGGCUCACCAAACCUAUUAUCGGUAAGGGCCGUGAGAGCGGAAGCCCUGAGAUGGGUACUGAGACAAUGACCCAGGUCUUACGAGACGCAGCAAGCGCGAAACCUUCACAAUGCACGAAAGUGAGAUGAGGUUACCCGGAGUGCUACAAAGUAGCUGUGGCAGGUGAGUAAGGUUCCCUGCUAGGAAGGAGAGGGCAAGGCUGGUGCCAGCCGCCGCGGUAAAACCAGCUCUUCAAGUGGUCGGGAUUAUUAUUGGGCUUAAAGUGUUCGUAGCCUGUUUAGUAAGUUCCUGGUUAAAUCGGAUAGCUUAACUAUCUGUCUGCUAGGAAUACUACUAUACUAGGGGGCGGGAGAGGUCUGAGGUACUCCAGGGGUAGCGGUGAAAUGCUAUAAUCCUUGGGGGACCACCAGUGGCGAAGGCGUCAGACUGGAACGCGCCCGACGGUGAGGGACGAAAGCCAGGGGAGCGAACCGGAUUAGGUACCCGGGUAGUCCUGGCCGUAAACGAUGCGUGCUAUGUGUUGGUAUAGCUAUGAGCCGUAUCAGUGCCGUAGGAAAACCGAUAAGCCCGCCGCCUGGGGAGUACGGUCGCAAGGCAGAAACUUAAAGGAAUUGGCGGGCGAGC